rnacentral:rRNA from 1 species
AUAAUGACGGUACUUGAGGAGGAAGCCCCGGCUAACUACGUGCCAGCAGCCGCGGUAAUACGUAGGAGGCUAGCGUUAUCCGGAUUUACUGGGCGUAAAGGGUGCGUAGGCGGUCUUUCUAGUCAGGGGUGAAAGGCUACGGCUCAACCGUAGUAAGCUCUUGAAACUGGGAGACUUGAGUGCAGGAGAGGGGAGUGGAAUUCCUAGUGUAGCGGUGAAAUGCGUAGAUAUUAGGAGAAGCGCCAGUUACGAAGUCGGCUCUCUGGACUGUAACUGGCGCUGAGGAACGAAAGCGUGGGGAGCAAACAGGAUUAGAUAC